AUUCCGUGUUACUAUGAAAAAUAUAGUAACAAAAAGAGGUCGCACGGUUUUAUGUAACGGUUUAUUAACUUGAUUUAUUCUUUUUUUUUGUGGUCUAGCUCUCUAACAAUUAUAGAACUAUAGGAGUGAAGCCCGUUCUUCUGUGCCACUAUGAAAAAUAAAGAAAUCUUUCAGAAACAAUUUAUUAAGACAGCCCGCAGGAACAGUAUUUAUAAAUAUAUAAAAACUGACUGGAUAUGCAUGGCUGUUGAGUGAAUUGCAUGCUACAUGCUAGUGAAUUGCAGUCAGAUUCAAACUUAGGCCAGCUGCGUUUUUGUACUUGAUGCCAUGGAGACGCUUUUUGAGGCUCGCGCUCCCUCGCUCACCCUCACGCGCAGUUCAAAGCACUGUCACGGGGCACAGGUUCUGAAGUAAGGAAGCAAUAUCCGGCCAUCGAUACUGAUGACUCAGAAUGAAAUGUUCACAAGAUGACCUUUAAAAUGUGUUGUCUUAAUAUUUAUGUUGUAUUUUUCUUAAUGGCAUUUGUUAAAUUAGAAACUUAAAGAAAAUUUCUAAUGUUCUUACAAUAAAAAUAUAUAUUUCAACGAAUUUUUAAAAAAAAAUUCAAAGAAGGUCAAAGCUGAAGGAUAUCCUGUGGCUGUCCUCUGGACAUCCUAAUGGAACAUUAAUAAACAGAGAAAUACUUAAGACAAAAUUAUAUCUAUUUAAAUGCUAUUCCAGCAAGCUGU